rnacentral:rRNA from 1 species
GAUGAAACGCUGGCGGCGUGCUUAAACACAUGCAAAGUCGAAACGGGAAAACAUUUUUAUUGAAGCUUCGGCAGAUUUAGUUUGUUUCUAGUGGCGGACGGGUGAGUAACGCGUGGGUAAACCUGCCUCACACUGGGGGAUAACAGUCAGAAAUGACUGCUAAUACCGCAUAAGCGCACGAGACCGCAUGGUUUUGUGUGAAAAAACUCCGGUGGUGUGAGAUGGAUCCGCGUUGGAUUAGCCAGUUGGCAGGGUAACG